rnacentral:rRNA from 1 species
AUUGAACGCUGGCGGCAUGCCUUACACAUGCAAGUCGAACGGUAACAGGUCUUCGGAUGCUGACGAGUGGCGAACGGGUGAGUAAUACAUCGGAACGUGCCCGAUCGUGGGGGAUAACGGAGCGAAAGCUUUGCUAAUACUGCAUACGAUCUACGGAUGAAAGCAGGGGACCGCAAGGCCUUGCGCGGACGGAGCGGCCGAUGGCAGAUUAGGUAGUUGGUGGGAUAAAAGCUUACCAAGCCGACGAUCUGUAGCUGGUCUGAGAGGACGACCAGCCACACUGGGACUGAGACACGGCCCAGACUCCUACGGGAGGCAGCAGUGGGGAAUUUUGGACAAUGGGCGCGAGCCUGAUCCAGCCAUGCCGCGUGCAGGAUGAAGGCCUUCGGGUUGUAAACUGCUUUUGUACGGAACGAGAAGCCUCUUUCUAAUAAGGAGAGGUCAUAACGGAACCGUAAGAAUAAGCACCGGCUAACUACGUGCCAGCCGCCGCCGUAACAC